AUCAUGCAAGAGCUUGCUGCUGUGUGUGGGACUGAGACCCAGAUUCGGGCCAAUUCAAAAUGAAAACCUUCAAAUGAGUGCUCUGAGAGUAAAAUGAAACUGAAUCUGCUUGCUACAUGUCGAUGAGGUUCAAAAGAUGGCAACAGUUUUGGGGUGCAAGGUCAAGCUGAAGAGUUAAAAACAGAAAGGAACCUUCUUUCCUCAGCCUAAAUAAAUAUCCUUUCCUAGAGGUAUCACUGGGAAGGUGGCACAGAGGAAGGUCAAGUGAUCCCCUCUCUGGGGUCCACAUGCCCGCUGCUGGGCCACACCUCACCCAGGCCCUUCCCUUGUGAACACCUCACAGAGGGACUGGCUCCAAACUGACCCUGAAGAAUUAUGUGAAAUCCUUCUCGUUUAGAGCUUUAAAGGGUGUAAGAGAAUCAUGAGGAUUUGGAAAAACUAGGACUGGGUCCAUGUUUAUGCUUGCAGCCUUUUACCAACAAAUACAUAUGUACAUAUAUGUACAUAUAUAUAUAUAUAUUUUCUCUUUAAUGUUUCAUAAGAUAUUUUUAUCACCUAAAUGAAGAUAAAUUAGCUGAGCUUGUUUGGCAUAGAACAUAUCGCAAUAUUUUUUAUUUUUAAAAA
rnacentral:lncRNA from 10 species